rnacentral:lncRNA from 1 species
GCUUCAACCUCGCAGGCUUGCAGCAACCAUUAGCAAGUUGCUAAUGGCUCAGAAGCAAGGACUGGUGCUCAGUGCUACCCCGGACUAGCACUGAAACAGCUAACAUGUAUUUCCACAAGCAACAUGGACAUAAAGUGUCAAUCCAUCCAUGCGCAGCCCUACAGGAUCAUUAAGAGUAAAAGACAAAAGAUACAGGUGACAAGGUGAUGUAAGAAAUGGCAUUUGAUGAAUAUUAAUCUCAUUGAAAGACAAUAAGUUUAUACAGAUGGUCAGUUUCUUUUGCAUGAAAAUAAAGCCUCAGUAACCCGAAGGAAAAAAGGAGUGCUUCUAUGAGAUUAAACAUAGAAAGGAUACCAUCCCACUAUAUCUUGUACUACUAAAUUUGACAAACUAGCAAUCCCCCUUGUUCCAGACACACAAAUUUCUUGCAAUACUUACCAUUUAAUAAACAUGAAAUUGGAGAGUAAGGUUAAAGAGCUUCCAACUUUUCUUUCCUGACGAUGUGGAAAAAUUGUUUCCAGACUGGCAGACUGCAAUGUUCAAAAUCUACGAAAUUCUUUAUCAGUGACGGAGAAGACAAAGAAAAAAGGGUAGAUUUUACAAAGCAAGUAAGAGGUGAGUAUGUGGUAAACCUAUAGGCUACAUAUUUAACUUACCGACAUUACAUAUAACCAGGCUAUAACCCCGAUUCUGUGAUAUUCUUAAAACCAGCUAAUCCUGCCAAGUAGGUCACAGCCUCUUGCAUUUAAAACACUUAAAUGAGAGAGCUUACAAUUCACAGCAUCUAGCACAUAUAUCGGAGAAACAUAAACAGAGUAAACAGUUGAGGUGUAAUCAAGUGACUCAGCUUAUACAAACUGCAGCUAGAAAUAUGACGUAUUUUCAGAAAUUAAGCCCAAUUAAGCAGCUCUACUUACCCCGAUAAUGAGAGAAAGAAAAAGAACUUCAACCAAGCCAUGAGUAUAAUAUAAACAAAUAUGUUGAAGAUUGGAGACUGCAAAAACAAAACAAUGAUUGGGGCUCAUCAAGUAAUAUCAGCUAGCUCUGAAAAUUGUGAAUCAAUUGGCCAAUGUAAGCUUGCUAUGAAUAUACAAUACUUUACAAUCCAAUAUCAGCUUGAAACUUACAGUGCAUGCAACUAGCAGAGCCCAUUCUCUAACCUCGUUUUUACUACGCAUACCUCCACUGCUUUUCAAUAUCUGGGAAUAUGAUAUAGAAACAGUUCUCCACAGAGUGAAAACCUAGUCUAAAGUCCAUUCAAGUAUAUUUAACUCCUUGGCAAACAAAUUUGAGAUAAAUACUAUUGCUUCAAGAAAUCCUGGUAUAAAUAUUUUCACAGCUCCAGAAACUCAGCUACUGGUCUUAAUCAAAAUAAUUAUCACAUUUCCUGUCCUCUUCAUUUGACAGGUCUGGACCAUUUAUUCCGGAAGCUUUUCUCUUUCUGUAAUAAGGGAAGCUUCUUGGCAUGGUUUUCCCCCAAUACUCAGUUUUUCUUCAGGAGGAGGAUGAAACGGUGUUCCAUCGUCAGUACAGAGAAGUAGCUCUUGCCAGUGGGCUAUAUCCACGAGUAAAAUAUUUGCAAAAUACACAUGGGUACACCGAGAUGGUCCCUUUCUGGCCAAACACUAAGGGGCAAUGAAGCAGAGCAUGUCUGGCUAUGUAGUUGGACUGUCAUGUCAAUCUGAUUAGAAAAAUGUGAAAAUGCAAGCGACUUGGAAACGAUGAACUUUGUGGAUGUUUCAGUUCCACCAAGUACUCCAAAUCAAUCAAGCCGGUUAUAUCCAAACAAUCGCCAAGGAGUUGCCAGCUGCAAACAGGAACCUGACAAGUUACC